ensembl:snRNA U2 U2 spliceosomal RNA
AUCGCUUCUCGGCCUUUUGGCUAAGAUCAAGUGUAGUAUCUGUUCUUAUCAGUUUUAAUACCUGAUACGUCGAGGACUUUAUAUAGCUUUUGGCUAAGAUCAAUC